rfam:Pseudomonas tuomuerensis strain JCM 14085 PT85_1, whole genome shotgun sequence.
CUACGCUGUCGGCUAACCCCGGCAGCGUAGUUUUAAGCGGGUCCGGAGCUCACAAAGCACUGGACCCUUCCUGAAAAGUAAAUGAUGGCUAUCAGGGGCAUCCGGUAAAAACCCGGUCUAUCUGCGGGGUCCCGUAGUGGCUUAACCAGUUGCUCAGGCACGCCGUGCUGCGGUUUCCACGCCGAUGGUGUUCCCUUAUCGAGGGUGACCA